AAAUUGAAGAGUUUGAUCAUGGCUCAGAUUGAACGCUGGCGGCAGGCCUAACACAUGCAAGUCGAACGGUAACAGGAAGCAGCUUGCUGCUUUGCUGACGAG
rnacentral:rRNA from 4 species